AUGAACGCUGGCGGCGUGCCUAAUACAUGCAAGUCGAGCGAACAGACGAGGAGCUUGCUCCUCUGACGUUAGCGGCGGACGGGUGAGUAACACGUGGAUAACCUACCUAUAAGACUGGGAUAACUUCGGGAAACCGGAGCUAAUACCGGAUAAUAUAUUGAACCGCAUGGUUCAAUAGUGAAAGACGGUUUUGCUGUCACUUAUAGAUGGAUCCGCGCCGCAUUAGCUAGUUGGUAAGGUAACGGCUUACCAAGGCGACGAUGCGUAGCCGACCUGAGAGGGUGAUCGGCCACACUGGAACUGAGACACGGUCCAGACGCCUACGGGAGGCAGCAGUAGGGAAUCUUCCGCAAUGGGCGAAAGCCUGACGGAGCAACGCCGCGUGAGUGAUGAAGGUCUUCGGAUCGUAAAACUCUGUUAUUAGGGAAGAACAAAUGUGUAAGUAACUAUGCACGUCUUGACGGUACCUAAUCAGAAAGCCACGGCUAACUACGUG
rnacentral:rRNA from 1 species